UAGGGAAUAUUAGAAAUGGACGAAAGUCUGAUCUAGCAACACCGCGUGUGCGAAGAAGGCCUUCGGGUUGUAAAGCACUUUUUGGAAGGAUUAGGAAGGAAUGUACUUCCAGAAUAAGUCUCGGCUAACUACGUGCCAGCCGCCGCGGUAAAACGUAGGAGGCGAGCGUUAUCCGGAUUUACUGGGCGUAAAGCGUGUGUAGGCGGUUUGAUAAGUUGGAUGUGAAAGCUCCUGGCUCAACUGGGAGAGGUCGUUCUAAACUGCCGGACUAGAGGAUGGUAGAGGGAGGUGGAAUUCCGGGUGUAGCGGUGGAAUGCGCAGAUAUCCGGAGGAACACCAGUGGCGAAAGCGGCCUCCUGGACCACUCCUGACACUCAGACGCGAAAGCUAGGGUAGCAAACG
rnacentral:rRNA from 1 species